rnacentral:rRNA from 1 species
UACGAAGGGGGCUAGCGUUGCUCGGAAUCACUGGGCGUAAAGCGCACGUAGGCGGAUUGCUAAGUCGGGGGUGAAAUCCUGGAGCUCAACUCCAGAACUGCCUUCGAUACUGGCAAUCUCGAGUCCGGAAGAGGUGAGUGGAACUCCUAGUGUAGAGGUGGAAUUCGUAGAUAUUAGGAAGAACACCAGUGGCGAAGGCGGCUCACUGGUCCGGUACUGACGCUGAGGUGGCGAAAGCGUGGGGAGCAAACAGG